CACCGAUACCGAUACUGGAAUCGGUAUCGGGUCCGAUACUGCUCUCCUGUACUCAUACUCGUUAAAACGCUCCGAUACCAAAAGCCGAUACCACAGCGCAUUUUAUAAGUGCCAUAUUUAG